rnacentral:rRNA from 1 species
CCUACGGGGUGCAGCAGUGGGGGAUAUUACACAAUGGGGGGAACCCUGAUGCAGCGACGCCGCGUGGGUGAAGAAGCGCCUCGGCGCGUAAAGCCCUGUCAGAAGGGAAGAAAAUGACGGUACCUGAAGAAGAAGCCACGGCUAAAUACGUGCCAGCAGCCCCGGGAAUACGUAGGGGGCAAGCGUUAUCCGGAUUUACUGGGUGUAAAGGGGGCGCAGACGGCGAUGCAAGCCAGGAGUGAAAGCCCGGGGCCCAACCCCGGGACGGCUCUUUGAACGGCGUGGCUGGAGUGCAGGAGGGGCAGGCGGAAUUCCUGGUGUAGCGGUGAAAUGCGUAGAUAUCAGGAGGAACACCGGUGGCGAAGGCGGCCUGCUGGACUGCAACUGACGUUGAGGCCCGAAAGCGUGGGGAGCAAACAGGAUUAGAUACCCUAGUAGUC